rnacentral:rRNA from 1 species
AUUGAACGCUGGCGGCAGGCUUAACACAUGCAAGUCGAGCGGGGGACGGUAGCUUGCUACCGGACCUAGCGGCGGACGGGUGAGCAAUGCUUAGGAAUCUGCCUAUUAGUGGGGGACAACAUCUCGAAAGGGAUGCUAAUACCGCAUACGUCCUACGGGAGAAAGCUGGGGAUCUUCGGCCCAUGCGCUAAUAGAUGCGCCUAAGUCUGAUUAGCUAGUUGGUGGGGUAGAGGCCUACCAAGGCGACGAUCGGUAGCGGGUCUGAGAGGAUGAUCCGCCAGACUGGGACUAAGAGACGGCCCAGACUCCUACGGGAGGCAGCAGUGGGGAAUAUUGGACAAUGGGGGGAACCCUGAUCCAGCCAUGCCGCGUGUGUGAAGAAGGCCUUAUGGUUGUAAAGCACUUUAAGCGAGGAGGAGGCUACUUUAGUUAAAACCUAGGGAUAGUGGACGUUACUCGCAGAAUAAGCACCGGCUAACUCUGUGCCAGCAGCCGCCGUAA